AGAGUUUGAUCAUGGCUCAGAUUGAACGCUGGCGGUAUGCUUAACACAUGCAAGUCGAACGGUAACAGGCCUUCGGGCGCUGACGAGUGGCGGACGGGUGCGUAACGCGUAGGAAUCUGCCUGUUAGUGGGGGACAACGUGGGGAAACUCACGCUAAUACCGCAUACGCCCUACGGGGGAAAGCGGGGGACCUUCGGGCCUCGCGCUAACAGAUGAGCCUGCGUUGGAUUAGCUAGUUGGUAGGGUAAAGGCCUACCAAGGCGACGAUCCAUAGCUGGUCUGAGAGGACGAUCAGCCACACUGGGACUGAGACACGGCCCAGACUCCUACGGGAGGCAGCAGUGGGGAAUAUUGGACAAUGGGCGCAAGCCUGAUUCAGCAAUACCGCGUGUGUGAAGAAGGCCUGAGGGUUGUAAAGCACUUUUAAUCGGGAGGAACACCUGUCAGCGAAUACCUGGCAGUAUGACGUUACCGAUAGAAAAAGCACCGGCUAACUCCGUGCCAGCAGCCGCGGUAACACGGAGGGUGCAAGCGUUAAUCGGAAUUACUGGGCGUAAAGCGUGCGUAGGCGGCUGUUUAAGUCAGAUGUGAAAGCCCCGGGCUUAACCUGGGAACUGCAUUUGAUACUGGGCAGCUAGAGUUGAGUAGAGGAGAGGGGAAUUUCAGGUGUAGCGGUGAAAUGCGUAGAGAUCUGAAGGAACACCAGUGGCGAAGGCGCCUCUCUGGACUCAAACUGACGCUGAGGUACGAAAGCGUGGGUAGCAAACAGGAUUAGAUACCCUGGUAGUCCACGCCGUAAACGAUGUCAACUAGCCGUUGGUCUUAUUCGUAAGAUUAGUGGCGUAGCUAACGCGAUAAGUUGACCGCCUGGGGAGUACGGCCGCAAGGUUAAAACUCAAAUGAAUUGACGG
rnacentral:rRNA from 1 species